rnacentral:misc_RNA from 1 species
AAGUCGUAACAAGGUUUCCGUAGGUGAACCUGCGGAAGGAUCAUUACUGCUUGCUUACGGUCUCGCUUCGGGCAACCGAGCGGGAUCGGGCACGCUACCCUUGCUUAUGUAUACCUUUUGUUAUUCCCUCGGCGGGGAAACCUGCCGCUGGGAUCUUAUAAACCCUCUUGUAUUAUAGCAUCAAAAUUUCUGAAAACAAACAAAUAAUCACAACUUUUAACAAUGGAUCUCUUGGUUCUG